rnacentral:rRNA from 1 species
CAGUAGCCGCGGGAAUACGUAGGUGGCAAGCGUUGUCCGGAAUUAUUGGGCGUAAAGGGCUCGCAGGCGGUUUCUUAAGUCUGAUGUGAAAGCCCCCGGCUCAACCGGGGAGGGUCAUUGGAAACUGGGAAACUUGAGUGCAGAAGAGGAGAGUGGAAUUCCACGUGUAGCGGUGAAAUGCGUAGAGAUGUGGAGGAACACCAGUGGCGAAGGCGACUCUCUGGUCUGUAACUUACGCUGAGGAGCGAAAGCGUGGGGAGCGAACAGGAUUAGAUACCCCUGUAGUCCCUGUCUCUUAUAC